UCCAUUCAGGCUGCACAUUGGAAGAAAAUAUUAAGGAAUUUGAGAGAGGUCUUCAUCAGAGAUGCUCUCUCAAGAACUAUCUAAACCCACAAAAUUCUCUUAUGAAAUAGUUGCCAAGGUCAUGCUCGCCCAACAAAAUGAAUGGAAAAGCACAAUCCAAAUAUAUAACUAAAUAUCCGAGUGUACUGGAGCUGGUGAUAGUGACUGAAUACACAGUAUUAAUCUCAUCUAAUUCCUGGAGCCUAACAAGCUGGCACCAACCACACUGUUCUCCUGCCUACCCACCCAGAGGACUGGAGCUGGAUCACUGCAGAAGAUGCUGGCCUCCCUGUUUGAGUGUGGGAUGUCCCAGAGGCAAAAGGUCAUGUCUUCUCUGUUGAUACACCUGACUGCCGGAGGGGGAUAACCAUAAAGGAUGAGUAGGCUCAUAACAUAAAGUUUCUCUGCAAAGUAUUUGUUAUUAGCCACUGUUCAAGACCAGAUGCUUAGCCAUGUGGGCUCUUUGCGUAAGCCAGCAUGGCCCAAUUCAGACAUCUCAUCAAACCUCUGAUAAACAUAACUGAGGCAAGUGUUUCUGGUUGUCUGAAUGCAUGAACUUGUAGUUCUCUCACCCAGUGUGCCUCUGUUUUUGCCUCCAAACCUGAAUUUGAGCCCUCAGUUUGUAGUGAGAAAGCUCCUCCUGCUACCACAAAGAGGUCAGCUCAGAGCAACCCAGAAAUGCAUCCGUUCUAAAGCAGCUGUGUCACUGGCUGUCUCUCAGAGCGAAAGAAAGCUCUGCUUCUGCCAUCACCUCACAACUCCUGAUGCUGCUUGGCAACUGCAUCCCUAGAAUUACUACAUUUAAAGGGACAGAGCCAUAUUGAUUGAUUGAUUGUUAAAUUUAUAUACCACCUUUCAUCAAAACAAUCCCAAGGCAGUUUACACAGAAUUAAAAACAAGAUUAUAAAAAUAAGGGGGGACAUUAUUUGCAUUAUGGGGGCAUUAUGAAUCUCAGGAAGCAAGGUGUUCCAUAAGGAAGGGGAUACAACAGAGAAGGCCCUCUCACAAGCCAGGGCCCUACAUACCUCACCUGGUCCCAGAAUUCUGAGAAGGCCCACCUGAGACGAGCCCACAGUGCGGGUCGAAGUUGGAUGGGAGAAGCAGUCCUGAAGGUACAUAGGCGCCAAACCCUGAAGGGUUUUAUAUGUGAUAACCAGCUCUUUGAAUUGGACCCGGAAGCAAACUGGCAGCCAAUGUAGCAACCUCAACAUGAUCAUAUUUUCUGCUGCUCAUAAGCAGUCGGGCUGCGGCAUUUUGGGCCAGCUGAAGUUUCCGAGUCAUCUUCAAAGGCAACCUCAGGUAGAACGCAUUGCAACAGUCCAACCGAGAGGUGACAAGGGCAUGAGUUACCAUUGCCAGGGCCUGCUGGUUGAGGUAAGGCUGCAAUUGGCACACCAGACAAAGCUGGGCAAAGGCUCUCCUGACCACAGCUUCCACCUGCUGCUCCAGCAAUCUUAUUUGGAGAUUUCUGCAAAUGCCAUUUAGAAAUCGUGUAGAAUUUUGAAGAACAAAAACUCAAAUUGUAGCUUUACACAACUCUAAUGUGUAGAGAAAGAACCAUUGAUUGUUUCGGAACAUUUCAAAAGGCCUGAACAAGCUCCAUGCGUCUUUUCUCUCACAGAGUAGUCUGGGACAACUGUAGUCAUAUUAUGUGCUGUGUUAACAGAAUACAAAUGAUCUCCUAGCCAUAUUUGAAUAAAGGCAUAAUCACUGUUCUUCGAGGUGUCAGGAUUGCUGUGUAAGCAACUUAUUUAACAGUGCAUUGCUGUGCAAGCUUACU